UUUCGAAGGAUACCAACUUCUCAAUUACCAAGAAGAAUACCAAUAAUUCUCAUUGUUGAAACGCGUAGGUGGUUGAAAGUAUUGUUUGAACGCGAAAAAUUUCCCGCCGCUCUUUGAUUGGGUGAUUUCGUUAAUACAAUCGUAGAUGUAAAUAUCAGGGCUCUGGUAAAAAUACCUGUGAUUGGUCGAUAUCAGCUUCAGUUUGAUCUUGGUGCUCGUGCCAGCGGAAGAAGUAGUUCAUUAACGUGAUUUAACUUUUUUUCCUUAGUCUCGUGUUUUUGUCAUCGUUUAUGUGGUUGUUUGGUUGUAUGAGCUAUGAAAAAUUAUAUGUGUGUAUGAAAUUUAUGAAAUGAAAGAGAAAAGAAAUCGUCAGAAUGUGCGCGCGAGUGAUGCAAUUUUCAAACGUCGCAUGCUUCAUGAUUCCGUAAACACAUCGUCAUUAAUGUCGGUAAAACGUACAGUGAAUUUUAAAGUGAAACGAAUGAACUAAAGACUGCUGAAUCUUAUGACAAAGACAGUGAAUAGUCUGAAGAUGUCAUCGUAUUCAUUGGAGAAGACGCCUUACGAAAAUUUCGAUAAAAUUGUUCAAAGCAUUUUCAUCAAAAGUGAAUCAUAAGCGCCGACGACGACGUUGAUAACGUUGAUCAACAAGACUUAGACAGUGUUUUAUGUACUGAAGAAGUUGCAACCGAUUGUUGAAAUUCAUAUUCCAUUGGAAUCCUACAGUGGCAGUACGGCCCUACAAACGAAUGAUUUGUCUCUUAAUCAAGACAGUAAAUAUCAAUAUGCUGCCCUGUUGAAGUGUUAGAAAUCCUACAGGAAUCAAAUCAAGUUGAUGAUGCCAAUUCACUCCAGGAAACAAAUCAAGAUGAACUAAGUGGACUUGAAUUAAUAGACCUUGAGGUCAGCAAUCUCUUUGAGGACAGCAGGCAGAAUAUGGACUGUCAUCUUGAUUUUAUGUCGGUUCCUCUAGAACUUUGAUGACUGUAAUUUGUUAUGGCAAGUCGAAGUACAAUUUGUCUUUUUACAACCAUUGAAAUUUUUACAAUGAUCAUAAAUAUUACAUCCAUAUGAAACUGUUUAGCAAACGCAAUAAUUGGGGAGAACGUAUUCAUACAUGCAUGUUCUGCAGAAUUAAAUUCUUUUUGAAAUCCAUUGUUUUCUGCAGAUUAAGACAUGCAUUCAUAAAUUUAAACCCUCCCCACUUCCUCAUCACCGAGUUUGCUACGCCCCCGUUAUGGAAUAGACAGAGUAAAUUAGAACAUAAAUAGAAAAUUUUUAUCAUUAGUCCAUAGUAAAAUGUAGACUUACUCAAGUAAAUUAAUUAAGGCUCAAAUAUCGUCACGUCCAAUAUAAUGCCAAUGUCAUUAAUAGGAAAGUACAUACAGGUUAGAGAUAUUAUGGGGAAAAACAACUUUAUAUUUUUUAUAUCCAAUAAUGUCUAGUCAAAUAAGGAGAGGCACCCUAUCUGUUGUAACCAAAUAAGUUUUUUGUUGUCAAUAAGUUAUUGGAAUUGUCAAGGUUA